AUCUUAAAUUUUCAACGAUGGAUGUCUUGGCUCCCAUAUCGAUGAAGAACGCAGCUAGAAUGCGAUAUGCAGUGUGAAUUGCAGAACCACGAAUCAUCGGAUCUUUGAACGCAACUGGCGCUGAUAAACUCAGCAUACUUGCUUCAGUGUGCUCA
rnacentral:rRNA from 1 species